GAUCAUAAGUUCAUAACUCAUAGAAAAAAAAAAUGGCUUCUAGGAAGUGUGCUUCAACAGUAUUCUUGAUGAUGAUGAUGAUGAUUCUAUCCCUCUUAUUCGGUCUCCCGCCGGCAACGGCUUCCAGAUACCCACAGCCGGAGACGUCGACGUCGUUGUCCACCAGUAAGUUCACCGAUCGAGUAUUUUUAUUUUUAUUUCUAUUUCAUCAACGGUGAAGUCCCUGCAAAUUAAACUUCUUGUUUGUCAGACGAUCAGACUCACGGCGGGAAUCAUCAUGGAAAUUGAACAUCUGCUGCUAUAUCAUCACGGCCGCCGUCGACAUUGCCGGACUUGCUAGAAAAUGUAAUUUCAACGCAUCAAUUACUAUAUUUGCGCGCGGUUGUAAUUUCCCCCACUUUUCUUUAGCUGUUUGUUUGACUAUGUACUGUACUAUGUAUUUUAUCAUUAUAUUUCUCCCGUCAAAAAUUAUCUAUGUCAAAAUAAUUUAUAUCUUCUGUAUAAUAAAAAUAUAUAUGUUAAUAUGGUCAUUUAAACUUGCCAAAUUUACAAACUGACUAGUUCCGACAAAUAUAUGAGUUGUGUUCGAUACAAAUUACAAUGAUAAACAUGCUAUUAUAAAAAUGUUAAAUAUUGAAUUGAAAAUUGAAAACCGUACAUAGUUAAAUUUAAAAUAUUAUUAAGAUAAUAUAAAAAAAUUUAUUUAUCAUUAAAUUUAUCGUUCCCAACGCCAAAAAAGAAAAAGUACAUAUCCAGAAGAAUCACCCUCUAAAUCCGUCCCUGUACCAACCGUCUUCAAGGUCGGCCGCGCCGUGCAUUCCCGCCGUGAGGAUCAUCACUCGGUGCUUCAUAAUUAAACAAAACCAUGCAAGAAGAAAAUUAAAGUUGAAAAAAACCGACAAACUAUUAUACCUGCUAAUUAAUUCAGAGCAUUAUUUAUAUCAAUGGGUGGCGGUAUAUAUAUAACUUACUUGGGCCGCCGCGUCUGGAAGCCAUCGCCGGCGGGACUCCUGAACUGAGAAUGAUGAGCAUGAUGAUGAUCAUCAGUGUCACAGCCACAACACAUAAGUUCUUAGUAGCCAUAAUUGUUUCUUUUUAUUUGUUUUAUUUUCUGUCACUCAAGGCUAACUGUACAUUU
rnacentral:lncRNA from 1 species